AUCGCUUCUCAGCCUUUUGGCUAAGAUCAAGUGUAGUAUCUUUAUUCUUCCUCCAUCUCCUCCUUGCUUUUUUCUUCUUUCAUGCAACCCAUGGUUAUGGAGCACCUCCU
ensembl:snRNA U2 U2 spliceosomal RNA